UAAAGCGUUUUGAUCAGGUGUCAUUGUAUACUUUUGAAAAUUUGAAGGUGUCUAGCAGCUUGUUUGUAGUCGAAAACAGACUUCGUAUGCGCACAUACUCAACAGUGUAACUUAGGGCGCUAUCCAUGUUCGUUCAUUCGUGAGAAACGUCACAAUAUAAGUAGCAAUAAAUCUGGGGCUAAAAUAAAUAUCAUUGCCAUUGAGACAAAUUCCCAAAAUUUAUAUUAUGUAAUUCAUUAUGUAUCGUUAUAGAAGAACAAUACAGGUGUGGGAUAAAAAAACAAAAUA